ensembl:lincRNA Gm15205 predicted gene 15205
UAGAACGUCUACAUGGAUGCCUAACGCUAGCUGUUAGAUUUCCGGAAACUUCCAGAAGCUUGUGUGGUCGAUUCUUCAUCUAAAUACGUUGCAAUUGUGAGGUUCAUCCUUGUAACCGAAACAUCAGCAGCCCAGCAACAGCCCAGUGGCAGCAUACCCACCACCAGCAGCAACAGCUCAGCGGCAGCAGCAUCACCAGCAGCAUCACAAGCCCAGCAGCAGCAUCACUAGCGGCAGCAGCAUCACCAGCAGCAGCAGCAGUAAUAUAGGCACCAUAGGAGUAGAAGAUUUGCCUCGUGGAGGACUAAUCAGUAAACCUUCCAGCAAGUCUAACAGUAAUAGGCUCAACUCAGAGGAAGUGGAGUCUCUCCUAUUGCACAAAAAUUAUGUCUGCCACUGGUGAAGAGGAUGGGAACAUACUUCAUCCACCUGAAAUUCAUGAAAUUCAAGAAAUUGAAGGACCACAAGCAAUUGAAACUCUCCUGAACUAUUGUCAGAUUAUAUUUAAAACUGUUCAACGCAUGGAAAAAAG